rnacentral:rRNA from 1 species
UGGGGAAUAUUGGACAAUGGGCGCAAGCCUGAUCCAGCCAUGCCGCGUGAGUGAUGAAGGCCCUAGGGUUGUAAAGCUCUUUCACCGGUGAAGAUAAUGACGGUAACCGGAGAAGAAGCCCCGGCUAACUUCGUGCCAGCAGCCGCGGUAAUACGUAGGGUGCGAGCGUUGUCCGGAAUUACUGGGCGUAAAGAGCUCGUAGGCGGUUUGUCACGUCGUCUGUGAAAUCCUAGGGCUUAACCCUGGACGUGCAGGCGAUACGGGCUGACUUGAGUACUACAGGGGAGACUGGAAUUUCUGGUGUAGCGGUGGAAUGCACAGAUAUCAGGAAGAACACCGAUGGCGAAGGCAGGUCUCUGGGUAGUAACUGACGCUGAGGAGCGAAAGCAUGGGUAGCGAACAGG